rnacentral:rRNA from 1 species
UACGUAGGGUGCAAGCGUUGUUCGGAAUUACUGGGCGUAAAGCGCACGUAGGCGGAUAGUUAAGUCGGGGGUGAAAUCCCGGGGCUCAACCCCGGAACUGCCUUCGAUACUGGCUGUCUGGAGGUCGAGAGAGGUGAGUGGAAUUCCGAGUGUAGAGGUGAAAUUCGUAGAUAUUCGGAGGAACACCAGUGGCGAAGGCGGCUCACUGGCUCGAUACUGACGCUGAGGUGCGAAAGCGUGGGGAGCAAACAGG